GGGGAAUAUUGCACAAUGGGGGAAACCCUGAUGCAGCGACGCCGCGUGAAGGAAGAAGUAUUUCGGUAUGUAAACUUCUAUCAGCAGGGAAGAAAAUGACGGUACCUGACUAAGAAGCCCCGGCUAACUACGUGCCAGCAGCCGCGGUAAUACGUAGGGGGCAAGCGUUAUCCGGAUUUACUGGGUGUAAAGGGAGCGUAGACGGCAUGGCAAGUCUGGUGUGAAAGGCAGGGGCUCAACCCCUGGACUGCAUUCCAAACUGGGUGUCUAGAGUGUUGGAGAGGAAAGUGGAAUUCCUAGUGUAGCGGUGAAAUGCGUAGAGAUUAGGAAGAACACCAGUGGCGAAGGCGACUUUCUGGACAAUAACUGACGCUGAGGCUCGAAAGCGUGGGGAGCAAAC
rnacentral:rRNA from 1 species